ensembl:lncRNA
UGAUUGCACGUGUGUGUGUGUUCAGUGUGGCUAAAAUGGGGCCGAGCUGAAUGACCUAAAUUGUGGCGGCAACCUUGAAGAGCUCAGGUGGCACGUGAUGGAGGAAAAGAAAAUGAAAAAGAAGAGAGAAAAUGCAGGAGUUAUGGAAAAAAAGGAGAAGGAGUCCAAGACGAGGGGGAGAGGGGGUGAGGGAGACCAGGAUUGCCAUGAUGAUGUGAUUCUGUUGAUGGCGACAGCCCAGGAUGUUGUAGUGGACCUUCAAGUUACUCCAAGGCAACGGUGAUGUUUAAAACUUUGAUGGAGACUGAGGACGGAGACGAACUGCAGCGAUCAAUCAAGCGGACUAGCAGCCCUCAGAUUUGCAGCGAACAUGUUUUUACCGGGUAAGAUUAACGUUCAUUUAUUUCACGAGGAAGACAGGGACAGGGAUAAAUGUGAUGUGUUUAUACAAGUUAUUGAUUAUAUUGAUGGAUGGGUAUUUCACCACGGAGGCUGUGCACCGUCCACUGUAGUGUAAAGCGAGAUAAUUAUUAACAAUAUUAAAGCUCUGAUGUAUACGUGUGUUAAAAUUACGUUAUUUAUUUAUAUGAGCGUCACCGUUCAGAGAUCUUCUCAUUCCGGUGUGAGAGCAGCAGCUGAUCCGGGUAACACCACCAUCAACAAGGGAUCCGGACUUUUUAACAAUCAGCUUUGGUGUAAAGUGAAACGCUGUUUAUAACAUAAAGUUAUAAAUCCAGAGGGGUGAAUUCAGGCAAAGUCAGCAACAUGUUUACAUCGGUGAACAGCUGCAGAGAGAACGUAAGCUAACGUUGGUAAGCCCUGGCUAGAUGCGCUACUUCUUCUGCUAACUGAACUGGGCACGAACUAGUUGAAGGAAUGCUGGAGUUUUGUUUUGAUCACAAAAACAAUUUCAGGCUCUACUUUUCCCUUUGUUUAGUACUCGUGUCGCUGACUGUUUACAUGCUUUUGCCGUCCACCAUGUUGGACCCACGUGAUUAGGUGACGUCGGUGCAAAGGGUCAAUAUGGAGGGACCAUGGAAGAGUGGUUUCUGAGCUAAACUGCAGGAAAAGCAAGUGUGUGAAAACACCCACACAUCACCCAUGGUGGGGGCCCUCAAGGACCAAGGUUUGAGUCCGCUGGCUUUAAGUUUAAUUCUGGAUGACUUUGUCACCAAAGCACAGCGGCAGUGAUUGUACGUGCUUGUAGACCGACUAUAAGCAGUUUGCCAUCUGGGCCAGUGCAGACCGGGCUGGGUAUGUUAACACACACUCCUCAGGAACGGGGAACCUCCGAGCAUGUGGGCGGUACAGAGACCUGCCGCAGUUUCAGUCAGCGGCAACGUUUACUUCUCAGCAUCCAGAAUGAUAAAUCGCGCAUGUGGGAAGCCCCCGCUGGCUGAUUCUGUCUGCCAAUCAGAGGCUCCCCCUAAUGGUAGGUGUGUAUUUGAGCCAGCCAAUCAGUUGUAGUGGGCGUUUUGGCCCGGACCAGCCCUGAGUGGACCACUGGAGGAAAAGCAUCGACAUAUAAAUAUUGGACAAUUGGUUUCCAUAGACUCCAAUAACACAUUUUUGAAGAUAAAUGGGAGGUGGCCACCACCGCCAUUUUGACCGUGUCACAGGUUCCGUCAAGCCCAGACAAUUCUACAAAAUGGAAGAGAGGUGGAGCUGAGGGUGGGGCUGUGAGGCUGAGAUCAACUGACGACACCCGGUCGAACUAGCUACAAGCUAACCUGAAGCUAACCCAAAGCUAACCCAAAGCUAACGCGGAGGUGGUAGCUAAGCUAACGGAGGUAGCAACCUAGCUACAACCGGAGUUAACUGUGCACAACACCAGAGCUUCUGAGUCAGAAAUACGCCGGGCUGACCGCUGGGUAAAACCGGGUGGAACACAGAGGUCUCCCGAAAGCUGCUGAAAGCCGGCAGCCCG